AUGUAAAUGCCACAUAACAUUGUUUGGUUAUCAGUGCCCUCCUUAUGUUUUUUUUUUUUUUUUUUGAAAUCCUGAAAAGUUUAUUUUUGGGUAAUCCAGUCAAUGACGUUUUCGUGGUAGACCCACCGGGUUGCAGGGACGCUCGACGUGACGGACUGGUUACAGCGAGAGGAGAUUGUUGGUCGCUUAGUCCCAGCUCAAACAAACCCUGGGCCCUCCCUGAAAUGGAAUUCUAGGUAGCAAACUGAUUUAUUUGCACGCGCCGCUCUAGACUUUUCUCUCACCCUCCGAACGGUUAUUAGAUAACUAUUGCCACCAAACGGAAAACUUUGGUGUUACAUCCAUUUAUGUUAUUAUAAUUUCGAAUGACGAAGAGAACACAGUAGAACAGAUUGUUUCUUUGUGUCGGGCAUAAUUUAGUUAAUUAUAUGACAUGACAGUCAAAUAUAUGACGCAGUGGAGCUAGCUAUAUGACAUGACACGUGACAGUUUAUAAUUUGCGCUAGUCUUCCUAUUAUAACCAUGCGUAUUUGUCGCCGUUGAUGAUAGUCACAGGCAUAUGAAGCCCUAUCGGUCAUGUGAAUCGAUCUGCAUACGAGCGUACGCUAAAUUGAUUAACUAGAUAAUUCAAAAAGACGUGUAACAACCCAAGUAGACAAAGUGCCAAUUAGGCUAAGCUGCAUUUGUAUAAUUACGCUCUGGACUAGGAUAGGCCUGUCUGUUGCACGAAUCGUUAUGAUUGUAAGUACAUUAAUCUUCCAAGACACUGACUCAAGAUUUAUUGGCUAUAUUGGAGAUGUAACUGUAAUGUCAUUUAAAUUCUGACAGGGGCACAUUUGUGAGCACUUGCGCAAAGAGACUUUUCAGACAGCCUGCCAAGGCCAAACAAGUUUACAUGUUAAGCUUAACAUUCAUUAUUUGUGCACUGGUCUCCAAAGUUUCUGGAGUUAUUGUAAAAUUCGUUUUUGCGUUUUCUGGCUGCAGUGCCAUGUUGUUCUGCAGUCAAAUCAAAUACGUGAAUAUGCCUUUGUUUUUGUAGCGGCUCCUUCUGGAAGAAUAUUUGUGGAAAUUUGAAAUUCUUUUUUUUAAAAGAACUAGAGAGCAUAACAACUGCAAUGGGUAGGUUUCAGCUAUCCAAUCCUAUGAAGUUUAUGUCCAAAGGCAUGACUCUGACGUAGAUGUUAUUUAUGGUUUGAUUAGAUAUGUUCAAUUUGUUUCAUAUUCGGUUGUGUUUCUGAAGACCUGCACGGAAUAUCUUUCACUCGUCGUGUGUUUGAUAAACUUUGAAGUUCUUGUCAUUGUGUACGCUUAAAAAUUUCGACUUCCUCGUUUCCCAUGAGGCACGGACGGGGUUCGAACCCGCGAUCUUCGGUUUACGAGACCGACGCCUUACCACUUGGCCACCGCGCCAGACGGCUUGCCCCAUAGAGCAAUUAUGUUAAUGCAAGAUAUCAGGAAGUUAGUUGUGUAUCUGAAAAAAAAUUACACAAUACAUUCUUCAAACCGCUAGCACAUUGAAACGAUGCAUUUUGAUUACAGUACAUGGUGCAACUGUCCCCUAUAGACAGGCCUCAUGUAUCAUACUAAUUACCCGAACGAUAUCAAUAAAUCAUAAACGUAGCUGGUUUGAUGCUAUUUUUAGGACACGCCUAUGGCGCGUGCUCUGGACGCUCAGCGUACCGACGUGAAAGUCGGGAAAACCAACUGAGUGAGUGUGACACUAAUUGAAAUACUGUGUGUACUUUAGUUAGCGGGCUCUGAUAAUUGGUUACGGAUGUUGAAGACAUUCUUACAGAUUUGUUUGUCAGCGGAAAGAUUUCGGUUGGCUGCAGUGCACUCUAUGCGGCCCUUCCCCGGGUCAGGGUGGCCCUCUCCAUGGUGUCCCCCACCAUGAAGGCCGUGGUGGACGCUGUCUGGGUGGUGUGGGGCAUCGGCGCCUCCGUCUACGACUACCUGACCACCAGCGCCAUGGAGGAGCGCAUCCACGCGCUGGAGAGCGCAAUCACGCUCCAUCAGGUCAUCAUCGGUCUGCUGACGGCCAGCCUGGUCCUGCUCUUCACCUACAUCCUGCUGAGGAAACGUUGAGGAAGCGUUGGGGAAACACUGAGGGAACGCUGAGGGAACAGGAGCACGCCAGCACCAGGGGGGAUAUGCACUGACCACAUGACAGCUUAGCUGGCUACACACAACAGGCAGUGGCAUGUAUUUUGUGUAAAGUGUGUGUGUGUGUGUGUGUGAGAAGGGGGAUAUGACCCACUGAUUCCAUUUCUGACCUAUUAGCUGCCCGUCAUCUUUUCAAGUGAUCUUAGUAGAGCAGUGGCCUAAGUAGAGCAAUCCUGUUCCUGGAGAUCUACUGUCCCGUAGGUUUUCAUUUCAUACCUGACUGGUUUUCACUUGGCACACCUGACUCUACUGAUUAGCAGCUUAACAAGAUCUCUUGCUGUUAAGUGAGGCGUGCUUUGUUAGGUUUGGAGUGAAAACCUACAGGACGGUAGAUCUCUAGCUGUUGAAUGAGGUGUGGCUUUGUUAGGGUUGGAGUGAAAACCUUCAGGACGGUAGAUCUCUCGCUGUUGAAUGGGGCGACAUAGCUCAGGACCGAUUGUCUGGCAGUCGGAGGGUUGCCGGUUCAAACCCUGCCCUGGGCAUGUCGAAGUGUCCUUGAGCAAGACACCUAACCCCUAACUGCUCUGGCGAAUUAGAGGCAUCAAUUGUAAAGCGCUUUGGAUAAAAGCGCUAUAUAAAUGCAGUCCAUUUACCAUUUUACCAUUUGAAUGAGGUGUGCUUUGUUAGGGUUGGAGUGAAAACCUACACGAUGGUAGAUGUCCAGGAACAGGGUUGGUUACCAUUGUAGUAGCGCAUGGACUACACAGUACAAUUGGAAGGAGAAAUAGAAUGCUGGAUUGCACUAAACCUAAAUCAGCCAAUUGGGCAUGGCGUUUCAGGCACUGGUUUGUCUGCAGUGCCUUCCUUUAAAGGGGGAUGGGUAAGCUAUGGAGCCAGUUGGAGAGCUGGAGGUGUGGACCUGGGACUCUAUGGAGGGGCCUGGGGGGUCAGGCUUGUGUGCAGUAGACUUCCUGUUGAAACCAGGGACAGGCAGCUCCCUCUGCACGAGAAACGCGGUUUCUGGAAGAUGUCCGACCUGCUAAAUUUCAGAGAAAUUUGGGGCGUAGAAACUUCUGCACACUCCCGGGGCCGCACACGGAGGGAAAUGUGUUCGUUUUCGGAUUUGUGUCCCGUACAGUAAAUGCCCCUUUUCGUGCCGUGUCCUGCACCACAGCCUCGUAGCUCCUCCCCCACAGCAUGCCCACCAGCUCAGUGGAUCCAAGGAGUCCCCAAAUCUUUUGGUUCCAGUGUGGAGGGGCGAAGGGGUGUGCCCCGACCCUGCUUCCACCUGAGAGCCAGGGUCACAAGCCAUAUGGACCAAAUUAUUAAUUCAACUAGCAUAAUUAAUUAUUAUUAAUUACACUGCUGUGGAAAAAAAAAAUCAUGGAUGUGCAGUUCUGCAAGGACAACAGAAUUCUCUUGAAAAACUGGACUCUUGAAUUUUAUUCUGGACAUUCAACAAGUUGGAAUGUUCAUAAACGUAUAGGGAACAAUUCUCGUGACUCAAAAACCAGAAAAUGUAUUUAAAGUGACCUUAAUCAGUGUUAAUAUGUGGCCAAAAUGCAUUGGAUUGCAGGUGAUAAUAUGUGAAAUCUGUGCUUUAUGCUUCCUCCAUAUUUAUUCCCUACUCUGUUUGCAAAGGCAUUUUCAUAAUGCAUUCAACAAUGCAAGGGCCUGUAAUUACUUUAUUAGGUAUAACAGUGAAGGCUUACGCUGCAUUAGUUAGUUGAAUGUAGCUUUUUGUAAAAAGUCAAAACACUGGCUUAUCAGUGUGCUGCUAUGAAAUGCCUUGCAUUUCUCCAAACUGUCGAUGUGACUGUAUUU